ensembl:lncRNA
GGAAUUUUGCUGGAGGUUCCUGUGUCCUUGAGACCUUGCAAGGGAGGCAGUUGGAGACUGUAUUGCUUUAAGGUUUACAACAGCAGUGUGUGAAGAAGUAGGCUGUGAGGAGUCUUCCGUCUUGUCCCAUGUCUGACUACUAUCAUAAAUGUCCAUUUUGUACUGCAGCCAUCUGCGUUACAGUUACUCUCUAAAGAUCCCACAUGGAAUCAAGGCUGUAUUCAGUCGUGGUUUUGUAUCAACAGACAGGUAACCGAGAGAUUUGGAAUAUAUAUUUGCUCCUCUCUACUGCAGCUGAUCUGGGAAAUUGUUGGAAAGACAAUAAUGCUAUGUGCUAACAUUUCACCAUGGGAUUUCAAAAUGAUUUGUAAGUCAGUGAUAUAAUUACAAGGAAUUUGAACAUGGAGAGGAAACUGGCCGGAAUGCAGGCACAAGUUGCAGAGGACUGGUAAACACUUUAACAAACACAAAUGGGUAAAAACAUCUGUUCCCUGGGGAAAGAAGGACUGCAGAAAUAACAAGUGAACUUACUUGUGUUUGUGACAGUAUUUUUCAAGAGGCUUUUGUUUCAAACUUGAGGAAACGCUCCUCAACUACUGAAAACUGUUCCAUGGCCUAAGUAUAUAAUUAUCAGGAAGUUCUGGGCCCCGUGUUUGUGCUUUAUCAUAUGCAGUACUUCAGUUAUUAAAUGUCUCAUAAGCUUCUGUGAGCCUGAAGUCAGCAGGGCUUCUCUGAUUUAUACCACCUGAGGAUCCAGCCUCAGCAGAGACUACAGCUUUAUUUGAAUUCUGACUGCGUUGCCCUGUAUUUUUAGGGGGAUGCAAUAGUGUGGGGGUUUGGCAUGCUGGCCGGUCAACUGUUGCUCUGCAGAGUGGUAUUAGCAUUUUAUCACCUUUAACUUCACCCUUCUGCACCCAAACCUUCCACUCCAAUCAUCUUUGGAGCUGUUUCUCUUAGAUUAAUUGCUUACUCUUUUGGUGACUCAGUGUGUCAUUGUAUCCAAGUCAAUGUUAGUAUAGAGAGGCUUUUUAACCUUUACAUCCAAUCGUUUGCUCUUGGCCAUCUCUUCCAGUUGUUACUCUUGGGCAAUUUUGUACACUUCAUCUAUCAAAUGCUCAGGAUUCAACUCCACUGUGGACGUACUACUGUGCUCACACUAUGUGGAAUGGGUCUGUUCCCAUCUUGAAGCAGUGUUUCAGCAUAUAAAAAGGAGAUUUCCACUCUGACCUGCCCUCUGAUUUGCAGCCAUAUACUGUGAAUUUAUGCUUGGUUUGCUUCUUAUGGUGUUCCUGUUCUUGGGAGUUCUUCCCACCAAAGCUGUUUUGGAUUACUAUUUUUUUUCUUUAGAUUGAGCUCAGUUCACCAAGAAUGAGCCCUCACUUUAAUUUUCUGUUGACAUUUUAAAAAAUAUCCUUUGUCUUCACUAUUUUACUCUUAAUUAAUAGGAAUGGCAGAAAUGUCUCCAUCACACGCUGUGCUGUUUACUUGCUCUUGUGAUUCUUUAAAGGAGGGGAAUAAUUGCAGUUUCCUCUGGAUUCAUCUUUGUGAAGGCUUUAAAUGAGACCGUUCCUAACGCUGCCCCUUUGGUGUCAGUUUGACAAAGUUCCCAUCUUCCCCUGUGGUCCAGAGUUUGGAGUAUCUGAAUCAGCCAUCCAUCCAAAUUAAUACUUUGAAAGCGACUGAGAUUAAUUACUUCACAAAGGUUUCUCACGUUGCCAACUCCGUGU